AACGCGAAGAACCUUACCUGGCCUUGACAUGCAUUGUGUCGCCGGUGAAAGCCGGCUAGCGUAGCAAUACGCGCUUUGCACAGGUGCUGCAUGGCUGUCGUCAGCUCGUGUCGUGAGAUGUUGGGUUAAGUCCCGCAACGAGCGCAACCCUUGUCCUGUGUUGCCACUCCCCUUAAAAGGAAGCACUCGCAGGAGACCGCCAGCGAUAAGCUGGAGGAAGGUGGGGAUGAUGUCAAGUCAUCAUGGCCUUUAUGUCCAGGGCUACACACGUGCUACAAUGGACGGUACAAAGCGCUGCGAACCCGCGAGGGGAAGCUAAUCGCAAAAAACCGUUCUCAGUUCGGAUCGCAGGCUGCAACUCGCCUGCGUGAAGCUGGAAUCGCUAGUAAUGGUGUAUCAGAACGAUACCGUGAAUACGUUCCCGGGCCUUGUACACACCGAGUAUA
rnacentral:rRNA from 1 species